UGGUGGAGUGAUUUGUCUGGUUAAUUCCGUUAACGAACGAGACCCCUGCUUGCUAAAUAGUCAAAUGAGUGAUUUUUCACUGAUUGUGGCUUCUUAGAGGGACGUGCAUUUUAUUAGAUGCAGGAGGAUAGGGGCAAUAACA
rnacentral:rRNA from 1 species